rnacentral:rRNA from 1 species
AGUGAACGCUGGCGGUAGGCCUAACACAUGCAAGUCGAGCGGCAGCACAGUAAGAGCUUGCUCUUACGGGUGGCGAGUGGCGGACGGGUGAGGAAUACAUCGGAAUCUACUUUUUCGUGGGGGAUAACGCAGGGAAACUUACGCUAAUACCGCAUACGACCUACGGGUGAAAGCAGGGGAUCUUCGGACCUUGCGCGAUUGAAUGAGCCGAUGUCGGAUUAGCUAGUUGGCGGGGUAAAGGCCCACCAAGGCGACGAUCCGUAGCUGGUCUGAGAGGAUGAUCAGCCACACUGGAACUGAGACACGGUCCAGACUCCUACGGGAGGCAGCAGUGGGGAAUAUUGGACAAUGGGCGCAAGCCUGAUCCAGCCAUACCGCGUGGGUGAAGAAGGCCUUCGGGUUGUAAAGCCCUUUUGUUGGGAAAGAAAAGCAGCAGGUUAAUACCCCGCUGUUCUGACGGUACCCAAAGAAUAAGCACCGGCUAACUUCGUG